GGUUACUGGGUUAGUCCUCCACUCUCUCGUGCCAAGGAAGUGUUACAGAGGACGUGUCUCUAAUCUUUAAGAUUACUCUUUACUUCUCGUCUAGGGAAGUAGUAUCUAUGACUACUAAGUUCUAAGGGUGCCUGUCCUUUACACUCGAGCCUAGGUGUUUUAUUAAGGACAUCACAAAUGUUUUAUGCUAUCUAAUGUCCUUUACACUCGAGCCUAGGUGUUUUAUUAAGGACAAUACAGAUGUUUUAUGUUUUCUAUUGGUGUCUAUCUUUUACACUCGAGCCUAGGUGUUUUAUUACAGACAUUACAAAUGUUUGAUGUUUUAUAUCAAUAUAAGUGUGAACAAUCAAAUGUGAAGUAUACAACAUAACAGUACAUAAUAAGAAUUGAAAAUCGGUUUGAACAUCAACUCCGCAAGUUAAAACAAUUUGUUAAAAGGUUUUCAAUUCUUAAAAAUGUACAAAUUAUGAAACCAUUUAACUGAAAUCAUGAGUUUAAGUACAAGAUAUUCUUGUACUCUUGCUUGUAUUCCCCCCUGAAAACAUUGAAAAACCAUUGAAAAAGAGUAGGGGUAUGAACUCACCGAACGCGGAAUGUGACGACUAGGAUGCUAAACGUCGAAUCGAGGCUUGAAUACGAGCGAGGUUCCUAUGUAAUAUGAAAUGGUAUACAAAUAUAUCUAAUUAGAUUUAUAAACUCUAAUUAGAUAUGAUAUUACACUCCAAUGAGCGAAAACACUUCAAAACGAGUGUUUG
rnacentral:lncRNA from 1 species